rnacentral:rRNA from 1 species
GAUGAACGCUGGCGGCGUGCUUAACACAUGCAAGUCGAACGGGAUCCAAGGGGUGCUUGCACUUUUUGGUGAGAGUGGCGAACGGGUGAGUAACACGUGAGUAACCUGUCCUUUUCUUUGGGAUAAGCAUUCGAAAGGGUGUUUAAUACCUUAUGUUCUGUCUGCCUCGCAUGGGGUGGGUGGGAAAGGCUUUGGCCGGAUUUGGGUGGGCUCGCGGUCUAUCAGCUUGUUGGUGGGGUGAUGGCUUACCAAGGCUUUGACGGGUAGCCGGCCUGAGAGGGUGGUCGGUCACAUUGGGACUGAGAUACGGCCCAGACUCCUGCGGGAGGCAGCAGUGGGGGAUAUUGCACAAUGGGCGAAAGCCUGAUGCAGCGACGCCGCGUGGGGGAUGAAGGCCUUCGGGUUGUAAACUUCUUUUGCUCUGAACAAGGCAUGCCAGUGUGUGUGUUGAGUGUAGGGGUUGAUUAGCGCCGGCUAACUACGUG